rnacentral:rRNA from 1 species
UAGUCCACACGGUAAACGAUGAAUACUCGCUGUUUGCGAUAUACAGCAAGCGGCCAAGCGAAAGCGUUAAGUAUUCCACCUGGGGAGUACGCCGGCAACGGUGAAACUCAAAGGAAUUGACGGGGGCCCGCACAAGCGGAGGAACAUGUGGUUUAAUUCGAUGAUACGCGAGGAACCUUACCCGGGCUUAAAUUGCAGAUGAAUUACGGUGAAAGCCGUAAGCCGCAAGGCAUCUGUGA